rnacentral:rRNA from 1 species
UACGAAGGGGGCUAGCGUUGCUCGGAAUCAUUGGGCGUAAAGCGCGCGUAGGCGGUUACUUAAGUCGAAUGUGAAAGCCCUCGGCUUAACUGAGGAAGUGCAUCCGAAACUGAGUAGCUAGAGUACGAAAGAGGGUCGCGGAAUUCCCGGUGUAGAGGUGAAAUUCGUAGAUAUCGGGAAGGAACACCGGUGGCGAAGGCGGCGACCUGGGUCGAGACUGACGCUGAGGCGGCGAAAGCGUGGGGAGCAAACAGG